UAUGGUGUGUGCCAGCAGCCGCGGUAAAACGUAGGUCACAAGCGUUGUCCGGAAUUACUGGGUGUAAAGGGAGCGCAGGCGGGAAGACAAGUUGGAAGUGAAAUCUAUGGGCUCAACCCAUAAACUGCUUUCAAGACUGUUUUUCUUGAGUAGUGCAGAGGUAGGCGGAAUUCCCGGUGUAGCGGUGGAAUGCGUAGAUAUCGGGAGGAACACCAGUGGCGAAGGCGGCCUACUGGGCACCAACUGACGCUGAGGCUCGAAAGUGUGGGUAGCAAACAGG
rnacentral:rRNA from 1 species